GCCCCUGUGGCCCAAUGGAUAAGGCGUCGGUCUCCUAAACCGAAGAUUGAGGGUUCGAGUCCCUCCAGGGGUA
rnacentral:tRNA from 1 species